GGCUGUUCGAGAGCUGAGCUGUGACCACUACUGCUACUGUCAACAACAAAAGCUGGCUCCUCUGGUGGCUGAGUGACAGGUCAGCUGGUGCAGCAGGAGGGUGAGAGAGCCACCCCUCUUCACAGGGUCAGUGGGACUUGUACCCUGGACAUGACCCCAAGUGACCCCCCGACACUAUGGUACCCAUCUUGACCCGACCGCACCGAGCUUGAACUGAUUGCUGUCCCCCAGGAGGAUACCAGGCGGGCAUGUGAUGGUCCGGAUGUACAGAAAAUGUAAAUGGACUUGCUACAUUGACCCUGAUUAUCCACAGCUCAUCCACGGAUAAUCUGCUCAGAGCUGUUGCAGGGAUCAGCUCGGAGGUGACAGCUGUGUGAAUCCUCAUUGGACACAGUGGUAAUGGCGGCAGGACGGGACAG